GUAUUGUAAAAUACCUCCUUUCUAACAUGCAAUUUUGAGAUUUGAGUGCUGGUGUAAAAAAAUAGAAAAUGUGUAUUUUUUAAAAGUCAGGCUUUGCUGAAAUUAUGUUUAUAUAUAAAUAUGAUUUUAGUGCUUAAUAUUUUCCAUACACAAGAAUUAUUGCCUUUGCAAAACUUAGAAAUGGUUGUAUUUCCUUUAAGCUUUGAAUAUUUAAAAAAUGAAAGUUCUAAGUAUUUACUUUCCAAAAUAAAUGGCCUCACGAAGCCUUCUAGAACAAUGUCCAAUAGAGGUGUCAACAAUUGUCAUCAUUAAAUACUUUUAAAAUUGCAAAUAUACUGAGGCAUUUAAGACCAGCUAAUGCAUUAUUUCCCCUUAAGAUAGUGUUCUUGCAAUUAAUAUUUGAGUGGUUUCCUUCUAAUCAUGAAGGUAGCUAGGGAUUCUCAAAGAUUUUUUAUUUUGUAGUUUAAGAUGAUCACGAGGAUUUUAUCAUUCCUUGUUUUAAUGCAGCUUGUUAAUUGAAAUCUUUGCAUAUCUUAAACCUGUAUAUUUAGAUAAAAUUUCUUCAACAUCAUAAAAAUUCUGACUAUAUAUUAAGUGUUUGGACUCCAUUAAUUAAUUAAUAUAGUUUACAUAUAAUAUUUACAAAUAAUAUAUUUUGAUCACAUUCUUUCUCAUUAUAAAACUUGACUCAGAUACUCCCUACCUCUUUACCAACAUAAUUUCAUGUAUCCUUGUUCAUAUGCAAGGUCUCUUUUUCUUAUGUCUGUCUUUCUCUCCCUCUUAAACAAUAACUAAAAAUGAAGAAAUGAAAUGAAAUAAAAGAAAGUAAGGAAAUAAGGAAGGAAGAAAAACUAAAGACUGAGCCAUCUCAACAUCAAAAAACAAGGCAGUAAUAAUAAAAAAAGAAGAAGCAAAUUUCCCAAAAGAAAAAUGAAACAAGAAGAGAUCAAUUUUGCUGUCUCUGUAAAUGAGGGCUGUUCAGAAGUGUGAUUAAUAUAACAAUAUAACUGCUGAUAUUUAAUUGUUUAAAACAAAACAAACAAAACAAAAUCCUAAUUUGUUUCCUUCUCCACAGAUAUCAGUUGCAAAUACCUUCUUGGGCAAGGGUCCUUCUUUAUGUCUACUUUCCCUUCCCAUGCUGGUAUUUUUGUCUGAUUUGAGCUUGUUCAGACCAUGUUUGGGCUGCCAGUCUCAGUGCCUACCUAUGUCUGACAGUAAACUUGUUUUUGCAAAACAUUCCUUGAGUUUUCUGUUUCUUGUUUUUUGUUUUUGUUGUUGUUUUUAAAACUCAGUGAUCAACCCCUGGGCAUGUUACUGUCUUUUGGAAUUCUUUUCCACAGAGACCUGUGUGGCUUGGCAAGGGGAGUUGAUGCAUGUCAUUAGGGCUCAUUUUAUUUUGAUAUUCCUUUCCCAGAAAUAGAGAAAUAGCUUUUGUCAUAGGCCUAUCACAUAUUUAGACUCAGGUUCUUGGCCACAUUAGCAUUCUGAGGAGGGUUUUCUAUAUCAUGAAGUUGGUCUUAAUACAAAGCAAAGUAGUUGAUUACUCCUAUAAUGUUUAUGUCAAUGUCUCUGAUACUUCUCACUGAUGUCUGCUGUAGGUUUGUAGGUUGUUAUGUUGAUGAUUUCUUUUUUUCCAUUUUUUAUUAGAUAUUUUCUUCAUUUACAUUUCAAAUGCUAUCUCAAGAGUCCCCUAUACCCUCCCCCACCCCCUGUUCCCCUAUCCACCCACUCCUACUUCUUGGCCCUGGCAUUCCCCUGUACUGGGGCAUAUAAAGUUUGCAAUACCAAGGGGCUUCUCUUCCCAAUGAUGACCAACUAGGCCAUCUUCUGCUUCCUAUGCAGAGACACAAGCUCUGGGGGUGCUUGUUAGUUCAUAUUGUUGUUCCACCGAUGAUUUCUUUUCUCCUCCAGUAGUAUAUAGCUUAAUGUUCAGCCUUAUAAAAUGCAGUCCAUAACUUUGAAGCUUCUAAUUGGGCAGUAGAUGUAUUUCACAUUUUCAAUAACAUAAAUAAGUAGAAUCUUCAGCAACUGGAACUCUAAAUCAUGAUGUAGAUAUUUAAUUAUAGUUUUGUGAAUGGUAUUCGAUGUUUGAGUAAUAGACUAAACGGCCCCUAUGUCCAAUCACUCAAAAACUCAUUAGUGUAACCAGUGAUUUGAUUUCAUAUUAUAAGAUUUAUAGUUGUGAGAGCAAUAUCUAUCCAAAUACAAAGUGAUUUCAUUCCAAUUCCAUAUGUAUAUGUGUGUAUAUAUGGUAUAAACUUCUUUGAUUUAUUUGUGUUUCCUACCUGAGUUUUGUAUUUGCUUUAUUUAUAACAUUUCUUCUCCUACCAUUAUCCAUGCAAUGCCUGCUACAUUAUCUAAAUGCUUAUUAUAUUCUAUAAAUCACCAUUGUUUAUUUCAUGUAAAAAUGUAUACAUAAGUACUCCUUGAUGUGUAUAUUAUAUUCUGAACAUUACAUAUAUGAUCAUAAGAUACGUUCUUGGAGAAAUCUAUUCUCCCUCUAAGCAUCCAUGAUUUGCCUGUGGUUUUUCAGCCAAGUAUGUGAUAUGAUACUUUCUCACCUUGAGGGAAUACCAAUUUGUAGUGUCAUUCUUUUUAUCUUUUGUAGAUGCACAUAUUUUUAAGAUUUGAUGUGUGUAGCUUGCUUAUUCUACAUAGAAAACACGUCCUUCACAGUAGGCAUCCUAUUCCUCAGGAUAUUACAAUCUGUUUGCUUCACUUAGGCAGUGUUAUGUCUG
rnacentral:lncRNA from 1 species